CCGGGAUUUUUUAAAAAUGUUGGAAUAAGCGAGACAACAGUGUCUCAGCAAUUUUGAAGCUAGCUAAAGUUUGGCAGAGCACGAGUUAAGACUUUGGUGGGCUCUUUCAAGAUAAAAUUGAUGAAAUCAAAGAUGUUUAUGGCUAGCUAGCUAGCUUAUCUUGGCUUUAUCACAAGAUUGGGUGCUAUUUUAUACAAUUUAUAAAGAAACACAAAAUGAUUGCUUUGUAUAUAUUUAAUGUAUAUAAUAAAUAAACUAUUUAUGCACAA